rnacentral:lncRNA from 1 species
CACUCAGCUUUCUGAAAUGGUGUCCCACCGCAAGGACUGGAGAAGGGUAAACCUCAGGUUCUCCUCCUGCCUUUUGCUAAGUAUAUGUCUUGAUGACAAGCCUUCUGCUGAUGAGCUGUGUUUCUGGACCGAUCAUGGUAGAAGUCAAUUAACGUGUCCCUCACUUGGGGUUUCUCAAGGACAUGCAAGGUCCUCAUGAUUGUCUCAAAACUAUAUAGAAUUGAGAAGCUGCACUGAUGAGGAAACUGAAACAGAAAAUCCAGAGUAAAUUCCACCAGGCCACACAGCAAGGUCUGAUAGAGCCAGGAGAGACUUUAUGAAAUCCAGACUCUCACACUAAUGCUCUAUCAGCUAGACCUCCAUGUGAGUCUCCCCAAUGUAGGUAGGAAGUGCUUUCCCUAAAAUGCUCAUAAAGCAAAUCAGAGCAAUGCUGCAUUCCAUGUGAUUUCUAAUUUGAAAUGCAAACAAUUGCCAAUUUGUUUGACUUGUAUUUAUAAUUAUUUCCUUGUGAAUUACUCAUCACUAAAUGCUUUAUAAAUAUUUUCUCUUUUUUUCCUCAAUGUCUAUGGAAUGAUCACAGCAUAGAAAAUGUUGGCUUUCAAGGAUUUAUUAAUAUCUCCUUUUGAAAUAACAUGUAUUUGUAAGACGGAAUAAAAUCACUUUAAAGAAACAAA